GGUUAAGCGACUAAGCGUACACGGUGGAUGCCCUGGCAGUCAGAGGCGAUGAAGGACGUGCUAAUCUGCGAAAAGCGUCGGUAAGGUGAUAUGAACCGUUAUAGCCGGCGAUGUCCGAAUGGGGAAACCCAGUGCAAUUCGUUGCACUAUCGUUAACUGAAUACAUAGGUUAACGAGGCGAACCGGGGGAACUGAAACAUCUAAGUACCCCGAGGAAAAGAAAUCAACCGAGAUUCCCCCAGUAGCGGCGAGCGAACGGGGAGCAGCCCAGAGUCUGAAUCAGCUUGUGUGUUAGUGGAACGGUCUGGAAAGUCCGACGGUACAGGGUGAUAGUCCCGUACACCAAAAUGCACAGGUUGUGAACUCGAAGAGUAGGGCGGGACACGUGGUAUCCUGUCUGAAUAUGGGGGGACCAUCCUCCAAGGCUAAAUACUCCUGACUGACCGAUAGUGAACCAGUACCGUGAGGGAAAGGCGAAAAGAACCCCGGCGAGGGGAGUGAAAAAGAACCUGAAACCGUGUACGUACAAGCAGUGGGAGCACCUUCGGGUGUGACUGCGUACCUUUUGUAUAAUGGGUCAGCGACUUAUAUUCUGUAGCAAGGUUAACCGUAUAGGGGAGCCGCAGGGAAACCGAGUCUUAACUGGGCGUUAAGUUGCAGGGUAUAGACCCGAAACCCGGUGAUCUAGCCAUGGGCAGGUUGAAGGUUGGGUAACACUAACUGGAGGACCGAACCGACUAAUGUUGAAAAAUUAGCGGAUGACUUGUGGCUGGGGGUGAAAGGCCAAUCAAACCGGGAGAUAGCUGGUUCUCCCCGAAAGCUAUUUAGGUAGCGCCUCGUGAAUUCAUCUUCGGGGGUAGAGCACUGUUUCGGCUAGGGGUCAUCCCGACUUACCAACCCGAUGCAAACUACGAAUACCGAAGAAUGUUAUCACGGGAGACACACGGCGGGUGCUAACGUCCGUCGUGAAGAGGGAAACAACCCAGACCGCCAGCUAAGGUCCCAAAGUCAUGGUUAAGUGGGAAACGAUGUGGGAAGGCACAGACAGCCAGGAUGUUGGCUUAGAAGCAGCCAUCAUUUAAAGAAAGCGUAAUAGCUCACUGGUCGAGUCGGCCUGCGCGGAAGAUGUAACGGGGCUAAACCAUGCACCGAAGCUGCGGCAGCGACACUAUGUGUUGUUGGGUAGGGGAGCGUUCUGUAAGCCUGCGAAGGUGGCCUGUGAGGGUUGCUGGAGGUAUCAGAAGUGCGAAUGCUGACAUAAGUAACGAUAAAGCGGGUGAAAAGCCCGCUCGCCGGAAGACCAAGGGUUCCUGUCCAACGUUAAUCGGGGCAGGGUGAGUCGACCCCUAAGGCGAGGCCGAAAGGCGUAGUCGAUGGGAAACAGGUUAAUAUUCCUGUACUUGGUGUUACUGCGAAGGGGGGACGGAGAAGGCUAUGUUAGCCGGGCGACGGUUGUCCCGGUUUAAGCAUGUAGGCGGAGGUUCCAGGUAAAUCCGGUACCUUUUAACGCUGAGGUGUGAUGACGAGGCACUACGGUGCUGAAGUAACAAAUGCCCUGCUUCCAGGAAAAGCCUCUAAGCAUCAGGUAACAUUAAAUCGUACCCCAAACCGACACAGGUGGUCAGGUAGAGAAUACCAAGGCGCUUGAGAGAACUCGGGUGAAGGAACUAGGCAAAAUGGUGCCGUAACUUCGGGAGAAGGCACGCUGGUGUGUAGGUGAAGUCCCUGCGGAUGGAGCUGAGACCAGUCGAAGAUACCAGCUGGCUGCAACUGUUUAUUAAAAACACAGCACUGUGCAAACACGAAAGUGGACGUAUACGGUGUGACGCCUGCCCGGUGCCGGAAGGUUAAUUGAUGGGGUUAUCCGUAAGGAGAAGCUCUUGAUCGAAGCCCCGGUAAACGGCGGCCGUAACUAUAACGGUCCUAAGGUAGCGAAAUUCCUUGUCGGGUAAGUUCCGACCUGCACGAAUGGCGUAAUGAUGGCCAGGCUGUCUCCACCCGAGACUCAGUGAAAUUGAACUCGCUGUGAAGAUGCAGUGUACCCGCGGCAAGACGGAAAGACCCCGUGAACCUUUACUAUAGCUUGACACUGAACAUUGAGCCUUGAUGUGUAGGAUAGGUGGGAGGCUUUGAAGCGUGGACGCCAGUCUGCGUGGAGCCAACCUUGAAAUACCACCCUUUAAUGUUUGAUGUUCUAACGUUGGCCCCUUAUCGGGGUUGCGGACAGUGUCUGGUGGGUAGUUUGACUGGGGCGGUCUCCUCCCAAAGAGUAACGGAGGAGCACGAAGGUUAGCUAAUCCUGGUCGGACAUCAGGAGGUUAGUGCAAUGGCAUAAGCUAGCUUGACUGCGAGCGUGACGGCGCGAGCAGGUGCGAAAGCAGGUCAUAGUGAUCCGGUGGUUCUGAAUGGAAGGGCCAUCGCUCAACGGAUAAAAGGUACUCCGGGGAUAACAGGCUGAUACCGCCCAAGAGUUCAUAUCGACGGCGGUGUUUGGCACCUCGAUGUCGGCUCAUCACAUCCUGGGGCUGAAGUAGGUCCCAAGGGUAUGGCUGUUCGCCAUUUAAAGUGGUACGCGAGCUGGGUUUAGAACGUCGUGAGACAGUUCGGUCCCUAUCUGCCGUGGGCGCUGGAGAAUUGAGGGGGGCUGCUCCUAGUACGAGAGGACCGGAGUGGACGCAUCACUGGUGUUCGGGUUGUCAUGCCAAUGGCACUGCCCGGUAGCUAAAUGCGGAAGAGAUAAGUGCUGAAAGCAUCUAAGCACGAAACUUGCCCCGAGAUGAGUUCUCCCUGAGACUAUAAGUCUCCUGAAGGAACGUUGAAGACGACGACGUUGAUAGGCCGGGUGUGUAAGCGCAGCGAUGCGUUGAGCUAACCGGUACUAAUGAACCGUGAGGCUUAACCUU
rnacentral:rRNA from 1 species